rnacentral:rRNA from 1 species
AUAUCAAUAAGCGGAGGAAAAGAAACCAACAGGGAUUGCCCUAGUAACGGCGAGUGAAGCGGCAACAGCUCAAAUUUGAAAUCUGGCGUCUUUGGCGUCCGAGUUGUAAUUUGCAGAGGGCGCUUUGGCAUUGGCAGCGGUCCAAGUUCCUUGGAACAGGACGUCACAGAGGGUGAGAAUCCCGUACGUGGUCGCUAGCCUUUACCGUGUAAAGCCCCUUCGACGAGUCGAGUUGUUUGGGAAUGCAGCUCUAAAUGGGAGGUAAAUUUCUUCUAAAGCUAAAUACUGGCCAGAGACCGAUAGCGCACAAGUAGAGUGAUCGAAAGAUGAAAAGCACUUUGGAAAGAGAGUUAAAAAGCAC